CUGGACCCCCCCCCAGCAAACCAGGGACACCAGAGCAAAGCCACCGCCUGGGCGGCUUUGCUCGGGUGUCCCUGGUCUUCUGGGGGGGGUCCAGA
rnacentral:pre_miRNA from 1 species